UACGUAGGGUGCAGGCGUUAAUCGGAAUUACUGGGCGUAAAGCGUGCGCAGGCGGUCUGCUAAGAGAGAUGUGAAAUCCCCGGGCUUAACCUGGGAACUGCGUUUCUAACUGGCAGGCUUGAGUGUGGCAGAGGGGGGUGGAAUUCCACGUGUAGCAGUGAAAUGCGUAGAGAUGUGGAGGAACACCGAUGGCGAAGGCAGCCCCCUGGGCUAACACUGACGCUCAGACACGACAGCAUGGGGAGCGAACGGG
rnacentral:rRNA from 1 species